AGAGUUUGAUCCUGGCUCAGGAUAAACGCUGGCGGCGUGCCUAACACAUGCAAGUCGAACGCCCUUAGUAAUAAGGGAGUGGCGGACGGGUGAGUAACGCGUGGAUCAUCUACCCUCAGGUGAGGAAUACCGGCGAGAAAUCGCCGACAAUACCGCAUACGUUUCUUUCGGGAAACAAAGCAUCGCAAGAUGCGCCAGAG
rnacentral:rRNA from 1 species